rnacentral:rRNA from 1 species
AACGUCGGCGCCCCCCUUUCUCCUUCUUUCCUUUUCUUCCCUUUCUUUUCUUUUUUAUUUUAAUUCUUUCUUUAAAUUUUUCGGCUUAACCGGGAAAGGUCGUCGGAUACUGCACAACUAGAGGACGGUAGAGGCGUGUGGAAUUCCGGGGGUAGUGGUGAAAUGCGUAGAGAUCCGGAGGAACACCAGUGGCGAAGGCGACACGCUGGGCCGUACCUGACACUGAUGCGCGACGGCAUGGGGAGCAAACAGG